AGGUGGGUUUGAGAUGGUUUUAGUUUUAAGAUGUUUUUCUAAAAUUAAGAGCCAAAAUAAAAAGUUCUAAAUAGCUAUGGAUUGGUAAGUAGCAUGACUGGAUUUUUAUUUUGAAAAUCUCUCCAGUUGCAGAGCUGCAGGAUUGAUUUGAGGAUGAGACUCAAGAUUCACUGCUAGAAGGCCAAACCGAAGGCCAAAUUGAAGAGCUGAGCUGAAGGACAGGUUGACGGUUGUGAGAGUGGAGAACAUUUAACAUUCAGCCCAGCAGGACAAGGCUUUUCAGUUUGUUCAAGGGAAUCUCAGUGGGAGAGUGGAAGUCACAACAGUUGGUUGAGGAUCACCUGGGAGGUGAAGAACAAAGCUCAGGAGAGAAGACAGCUCUCUGAAGAAACGCCUCUCACCCCCUGCUGGGUUGCCCCCUCCAACAGAAUGAUUUCCUGAAGUGGAAGGUGAGGUGGCUCCCUGAGCUGUGUCCAAGAUGGUGAGUAUCAUAAAGAUGGGGGAAAAAUGCCUUUCUUCAAUGCUACUUGAUUUUGUGAAAUCUCAUAAAUUUCAUGGGACACAAAUGCCAUUUAUUACUGAGAUGGCUCAGAUGCAGAGGCCAAGAGACACCUGAACAACCAAAGUGGAACUGGGAAGAGCAGACGAGGGGUCUGUUCAUGAACGCGGCUGCACUGCUCCAACCUCUAGUUUCUGAACUGCUAUUACAUCAAAUAAUGCCCCUAGGGACCUCUGCCACUGCCCUCUCUCACCUCAACAAAGAUUUCCUGGAGAAAAUUUCAUUUAAAAACUAAUUGAUAAUUUUUACAUGUGUGUUAUUUUUAACGACUGUGUGUACAAAGCAGAUUCUGUGGAUGAGAAUUGGUGAGUAAAAUAUAUUUGCUGUUUCCAUUAUUUAAUAUUUAGAUAUAGGUCAAUACCGCCCCCCAUCCCCUCCCCCAAUUUUCAAGUUAACCCAGAUCUUUCUAAUGGGUGCAGAAGGAUGAUGGAUGCUUAACAUAUUCUGCAGUUAGUUUUCAUGACAACAUUUAUGUCAGAUAAAAUUCUUCUAGGAUCUACCUGCUUUUAAAACUAAUUUACUUUUUACUACACUAUAGGUCUCACUAAUGUUCUAAGAUUCCUUUUUUUUUCUUUUUCUUUUUAUCAUUUUUCUCCUUUGAGGUUAAAAUAUGCAAAUCUGGAACCACACUGUAAGAGGUCAGAUCGUGGACAUUCUGGUUAGAUGACCUUUCACUGUAAAGCUGUUUCAUGGGAAGACCUCCUUUGAACCCUACUUAGCACUCUACUCCUUUCUCUUGAACUUCAGAAAGUUUCAUGGUUUCUUUUGAUGUCUUAUCACAGCAUCUCCAGGUGGACUCCACUGUUUUCAGCUGCCGCUGGGAACAGGAAAAGCCACUGGCUACUGAGACAGUGGCUGACAUUACGGUCAACAUUCAGAAGUUGACAGACAAGUAACUUCUUCAACUUAUGGUCCACUGUCUUCUUCACGCUGCACGGCUCUUAGCAAGAGGGGUGAAUUGACGGGACGUUUUCAUCCUUGCAGGAUCAUAAGCAGAGAGAUGGUGGAGUGAGACCAUACUGAGGCCCUCUCAAGCACACAAGUUCACAUUCCUCUUUAACCAUCCAAUUUACCAUCUGUCAGCCUCAGAGACUCUUCCUAAACUCCAGCACACUUUCUCCCCCACCUCUCUUUUUCAUUUACAUUUGUAUUUCACAAGCUCAAGUGUUUUUUCUGAGACUUA